rnacentral:tRNA from 1 species
GGCAGGAUUAGUUCAGUGGUAGAAUAUGCCUCUGUGGCUGGCAUCGCGCAGGUUCGAUUCCUGUAUCUUGCC